rnacentral:lncRNA from 1 species
UCCGAAACAUGGUAUGGAUGGUGACGAAGAGGACCGACUCGUUGCUGCAUGUUCAAGUACUGCACCAAGGUAGUAAGGUUAGCAAAUUAUUUAAUAUAUGAAUGUAAAAAUUUUACGCUAUGGUUGAAAAAGUACCUCCGUAUGAAUUAUUGAUAGCAUAGAAUGUGUUAUGAAAAGGAAGGUUUGGCUUUUAGAAGUUGAUUAAGAUUAAGUUUCAAUUCAGGCUUACGUAGUAAGCAGUGUGAAUGAGUAAGGAGGUAGAAAUAGAACUCCAGCAAUAAGUGAAACUAAUUUUAACAGUGAAAUAUAUUAGCAAGUUCAUAUGAAAUUCAAAUUGUUGUAAUACAAAUUAUGGUAUUAGACUCUUUAGGUCUCUACUAGUCAGCACACACUAGUUUAAGUACAGUAAUGUAAUGAGUUGAAAAUUCAAGAAGAAAUUAAUAAAGAAUGGAAUUGUAAAGUAUGUGUAGUUGACCGGUUACGAACGGGUCAAUGUAACGAAGAAAGCAUAAUGAAGAAGUUGCAAAAGUAGUGACUCGUUGUGAUGGGUCACAAGGGAUAAAAACUAUGAUAAAAAAAAGGGUAAGUAUUGACCCAUUAUAGAUGGGUCAAUUGAGACAAGCAUGAUGGGCUAUGAUAAUGGUCAAGACUUUGACCCGUUAUGAAUAGGUCGGAUGGACUAUAUGUUUGAUGUUUAAUGAAUGUUAUGUGCAAAUCUAGAUAGAUUGAUUUGUUGAAAGGAAUGGGGAAGGGACUUCCUAGAAAUGAUGUUCUUAAAGUUAUGACCUUACUAAUGGAUAAACUGAUAUUGAUGAAGUUGGUUUCGGGGACGAAACCUUCUUUAAGGGGGGUAGAUUUGUAACACCCCAAAACUCGAAUUAUUAAAUUCGUUAGUAUGUCACCAUGUGUAAUUAAAUGAAUUACAAUGACUAAGUUAUUAUACUUAGUUAAAUGCCUAAUAAAAAGUAAAGGAAUGAAAAUUUGUGGCGAUUAUGAUGGUGUGAUAAACUUGAGGGACUAAGGUUGCCAUAAUGGAAACCGAAUUUAAUUAAAACAAAAUUUAAUCACACACACACAAGGUGUGUGUUGCGAUCGUACAGGAGAAGGGAACAAGGGGGUGUGAACCCUAAACCUCAAGAAACCAUCAAAUUGAAAGGGGAUUUAGCCCAAUUCUACUGCAUGAACAAGGAUUCUUGAUCACUUAGCCCUAUAAAAUCAUUUGGUAAGUUGUAAUUUAUGAUUUGACAAUCUUGCUAUGAAGUAGGUUAUGAUCAAUCUAUGAAUUCGUAUGAAAUUGAUCAUGUAUAUGUGUUAGAAUCACUAUAUGAAACAUGAACUAUGUAAGAUUCUUAGUAAUUUGGUGAUUUUGGGUGAAAACCCACUUGUAGAAGUGAUGAUGAUGAUAUAUGAUGAUCUCGUAAGAGUAAAGUUGUGUAAAUAUGAUGAACUAGUUGGUGUGUGAUACAUAAUUAUAGGUUAGAUUGAAAGAUUGUAUGAAAUUUAUGUAAUUUUUAGUGGUGAUGAUGAAUGAAGAUAAGAAAUAGGAAUGAAAACAUGAUUUGGUUGUACAUUAUGCAUUAAACGGUGUACGCACACCAAGUGUUUGAUGAAAUGCCCAAGUGAUGUUAGGAUAUGAGAAUUUUAUGAAAGGGCUUGACAUUAUGAAUGAAUUGGGGAAUGACGAGGUCGGUAGUAAACUAACUUGAAUAUGGUGCCUUAGAGGAAAUUCAUAAGAGAAUUCAGGUUGAAUGUAUGUGAUGGUUAAGAUUAUGCAUUAGAAGCUUGUACGUUGUGCUUAAACGGGCGAUGCUCGUCAUGUGUUUUUAUUAAUCAAUUAAUUUCAAGCAAGAAGUGAAUGUGUACUAAAUAUAUAACAUAUGACCAUGCUAGUAAAGGAUGAUGUUAUGAAUUACGUUAGGUUGUCUAACUGAACAAUGUGGUUGACAAUUCAUGUCGUAUGCGUGUUAGCGAAAGUCAAUGUAGAUAAGAGCUGGAAAAUGUGUAUUAAUAUGAAUAAGCAUGAAUACUAACAUUAUUAUGGCAUGACGACAUGAAAGGAUAGGAACCACACUAGCAUGGACCAAGCAUGGAAGGCUAACGGGUCGAAAUGAGGCAAGGAAGCGGUUACGAACAUGGAUGCACGAGGUAAGUGAUUUCCGUAAUCACUUCUUAUUUUAUUUAAGUAAAGUAGCGUUAGUUAAUUAAGCAUGAUGUUGUUUGAAGUUUCAUAUGGUUUUGGUUGUAUGAAAUCGGUAAUUUUAGCUUAGUAGACCGAAUGGGACAAUAUAAAGUUGAAAUGAUAUGACGAUUAAUGUCUAAGUAAUGGCUAUGGUAUGUAACCGGGUAAUGGGUAAAAUUGCACAUAAGUGCACCAACCGAGAAUGGUGACUUAGGUUAAUGGGUCAAGGUGAAGGUAUGCUUUAGUACGGAACGUUUGUACAAGUAAUGACGAUAGUAUUACAUGUGCCCGGUUAGUAUAAGGUGUUAUAACAUUACCAUUAUGUGAGCCUUAAGUGUAAACAUAUGAGUUGCUUGAUAAAGUCAUGAAUGGGUCGAAUAAUUCGUAGAUGAAUAAUAAGCCGAAGACGUAUAAGUUAAGAAUUUCCUUAACCCGGAUGUUGGAUUUCAAGUUCACAUGAUAGAAUGUUAAUUUACAAUCAUGUAGGAAGAAACGUGACGCAAAACGGAUGAAAAAUGAGAGAGUUAUGUCUGUUUCGGUAAGAAUUAAUGGCAAGGAAAAGUGCAGAGCUGACACGGCCGGGUGGUGGGCUGACACGGCCGGGUGAAGGUUCUGUAAAAAAUAUUAUUUAUGCGAUUUAUGCAUCGUAGGCUUAGGUAUAUUAUCCGUAGACUACGGUGGGCCUCCCAAACAUGAUUUCGAGUGUUCCCUUGACGAUUAUAAGUUGUAAACCCAAGUCUAAGCCUCAUGUAAUUUAUAUAAGAGUAUGAUAGAUGUAUGUAAUGAAGUUGGACAUGUAUUACAUGUAAAUGGUAUACAAGAAUGUGUACGGAACACGUAGGUAUAAAUACAUGAUUGUAGGUAUGAUUGAAUGUAUAUAGGUAUGUAGAUGUGUAUGAUUGUAAGUAUGUAUGUGUGCAAGUAUGUGCGAAUGAGGUUUUUAGUAUGUGUAUCGAUGAAUACUAAUAAUGUGCUUGAGAUUUGAAGGUAAUGCAGGAAUGAGAACGUAGAGUUCAUGAAGAUUGAAUUCGAACUUGGAACUAUAAACUAUGAGGAGAUGAUUGAGUGAACCCAAGUUCUUAGUGAAUUAUGAACUGAUUUUUAACUAUACAGAGUUAUGUUUUAUGGUGUUGCAAGUGACUAACAGUUUAGUUGUUUCUGGUUUCCACAGGAAUUAUCGAGUCAAGUGCAAGGAUUGUACGGAAAGAACGGUUACGUAGUCUUAAUUUUGUAACACGUUAAUUUGUAAAUGGAAGUGAAUUUUGUAAGCUUCUUCAUGAAAGUGUGUAUUGUUAUAAGAUCAUAAAGAAAUUUUUA